CGGGCAUCGAGCUCCUGCAAUUUGUCCCGGGGUCAGGAGGUAGUUCUUGCCCGGUACGUGCGAUAACUUAAAAGGUAGUGAAGCAGAAUGGGGAGCAGAGAUAAUAAUGUCAAGCUUGCACUCUUAGGGGUUGGAAUGACGCGGCACGGAAAGGAGAAUCCACAAUAAAAGUCACCCGGCUACUCGCCUCCUGCAACUUAGGGGCGACUCCAAUCGAUGAUCUCCGCACUCUCCACUACAAGCUGAAGGUCAUCCCAGCUGCUCCUGAUCCCUAACACGGUCCACAAGGAGCUCCAGCCGGAUGCACUUCACGCAGGUGUAGAUCCUGCAGGACCCCAAUAUCCGGCAUGAAGAACACACAAUGGCCAUUUAAAUUACACUCAGUACCCCUGACACAGUAAGGAAAAAGGGACACGGAACAGAAACUUACCUGUACGACUUACCGGGAGUCAACGCCUCUUCCGAGCUGUAGCCUCCUUUGAGCCAAAGCCUGACUCUCCCACUCCGAAGUAUGGCUGCUCUGCUCUGCCAAACAUUAUGUGGAUUUUCUGGUGUAGUCUGUUUUGUCAUGUACUUUUGCGAUAUCAUUCUGGAGGAACGUUGUCUCAUUUUUUAACUGCAUUGCAUUUGUGGUUUCUAAAUGACAAUAAACUGAAUCUGAAUGUAAACACACAAAAUGCUGGCAGAACUCAGCAGGCCAGACAGCAUCUAUGGGAGGAGGUAGUGAC